rnacentral:piRNA from 1 species
UGUUCUUAGGUGAAGAGUUUUCCAGA